GUAGUUUUCCCUUGUGCCAUUCGAGAGAAAGAGAAGGAAGAAUCCAAAAGCUAUCCCAUCUGUGUGUUCUAUUUGCACAUUAGAAGGGGUUGCUCUUGAUUAUCCAAUUCUCACAAAAAAGGUUUAUUGGUAAUCCUUUCUCUGCAAAUUCUUUGUGAUCUAACCAAACUUUUGGGUGUUUAAGAAGCUGCAUGCAUAUGGGAGCAGUGGUUGUGUUGGAUGCUAUAGAGAACCCACACUAAAUAAGGAAUUAGUUGUGGCGUCGAAAGUUUCGAUGAAACAAGAUACGGCAGUGAAGAAACCAAGCACAUCGGAGGAUUUCUGGACGACCAGCACGCAUGAUAUGGACAACAACGCGGUUCAAUCACAGGGAAGCAUCUCAUCAACUAGUCAAACGAACCAACCUUCUGCUCCUCAUGGUGGUUCUUUCAAAACCGGCUCCCACACUGAAUUCGUAAAUAAUGGCCUUAUUCUCUGGAAUCAGAAUCGUCAACGUUGGGUUGGAAAUAAAAAGCCGGAGACCCAAAUACAACAAUUGCGAGAACCUAAAUUGAGUUGGAAUGCAACAUAUGAAAGUUUACUUGGGAGCAACAAGCCUUUCCGGCAGCCUAUCCCUCUUUCCGAAAUGGUAGAUUUUCUUGUGGACAUUUGGGAACAAGAGGGUCUAUAUGACUAAGACAUUGAAAGCUUGAAGAUUAUUUAAGUGCUGUUUGGUUAGAUUUCUGAAAUAAUUCUAGUUCUUGCUUUCUGUAAGAAGAGGAGGAUUGUACAUACUCUGCAGUUUUUAUAUUCAAUUUGUCACAUUAGAGGAAAAUUUCUCUUAGCAGGCUAUGAAAUAAUUGUAUUAUACUUUAUUUAAUUGAUUGCAACCUAAAGAGGCAAGUUUUAGAAGAAAAAAACUCAUCCCUUUGUUGAAAUUAUGGCUUCAACUUUGACUUGUUUUGCCUUUCCUUUAGACUAAAAUUGUGUAGGAUAAAU
rnacentral:lncRNA from 1 species